rnacentral:lncRNA from 1 species
UUGAGAGGUGCGGUAAGGUAGGGUUUUUGGAAUGUGAAAUUUAGGAUUCUAAUAAAUAUAUAAAUAAAUAUUUAAAAAAUAUUUUUUUUUAGUUUCAAACAUAAUUUCCGAUUUUCAAAAAGAAAUUUUGAAAAAAAAAAUUUCGAAAAAAAAAUUCAAAACAAAAAUUUAUAAAAAAAAGUUUGAAUUCGAAAAAAUAAUUUGAAAACAUAAAAAAAUAAUUUUUUUUUUUAUAUAUUUAUUAUUAUUAUUUUUUAUUUUUUAUUUAAAUAAUGAUUUAUUAUAUAUAUUUAUAACAAAGGUAUAAGAGUCUUUUGCCACUUAAUGAAGAAUGCAUUUUUGAAAAUGUACCUUUAGUGGUGGUAAAUAUGAAGAGUGGUACCAUGAAAAUGGUAAACAUAAAAUUUUCCCGAAAAAAA